AGUGGCGGACGGGUGAGUAACGCGUGGGUAACCUGCCUUAUACAGGGGGAUAACAGUUAGAAAUGGCUGCUAAUACCGCAUAAGACCACAGUACUGCAUGGUACAGUGGUAAAAACUCCGGUGGUAUGAGAUGGACCCGCGUCUGAUUAGGUAGUUGGUGAGGUAACGGCCCACCAAGCCGACGAUCAGUAGCCGACCUGAGAGGGUGACCGGCCACAUUGGGACUGAGACACGGCCCAGACUCCUACGGGAGGCAGCAGUGGGGAAUAUUGCACAAUGGGCGAAAGCCUGAUGCAGCGACGCCGCGUGAAGGAUGAAGUAUUUCGGUAUGUAAACUUCUAUCAGCAGGGAAGAAAAUGACGGUACCUGACUAAGAAGCCCCGGCUAACUACGUGCCAGCAGCCGCGGUAAUACGUAGGGGGCAAGCGUUAUCCGGAUUUACUGGGUGUAAAGGGAGCGUAGACGGCUGUGCAAGUCUGAAGUGAAAGGCAUGGGCUCAACCUGUGGACUGCUUUGGAAACUGUGCAGCUAGAGUGUCGGAGAGGUAAGUGGAAUUCCUAGUGUAGCGGUGAAAUGCGUAGAUAUUAGGAGGAACACCAGUGGCGAAGGCGGCUUACUGGACGAUGACUGACGUUGAG
rnacentral:rRNA from 1 species